CAGGAUGCCCAGUUAAAUUUGAACUUCAGGUGAGUAAAUAAAUUUUAAUGUAAGUAUAUCUUGUGCAAUAUUUGGGACAUACUUAUACUAAAAAGUAUUCACUGUUUAUCUCAAAUUCAAAUUUAGCUGGAGGUUUUCUAU
rnacentral:miRNA from 1 species